rnacentral:rRNA from 1 species
GAUGAACGCUGGCUACAGGCUUAACACAUGCAAGUCGAGGGGAAACGACCUGCUAGCUUGCUUCCCCGGGCUUCGACCGGCGCACGGGUGAGUAACGCGUAUCCAACCUGCCUCUGACUUAGGUUUAACCCGUCGAAAGUCGGCCUAAUACCUCAUUCCAUCGUCUUCGGGCAUCCAACGACGAUUAAGGAUUUCAUCGGUCACUCAUGGGGUUGCGUCUGAUUAGCUUGUUGGUGGGGUAACGGCCCACCAAGGCUACGAUCAGUAGGGGUUCUGAGAGGAAGGUGCCUCAGAGUGGGACUGAGAAAAGGGCGAAACACAUACGGGAGGCAGCAGUGAGGAAUGUAGGAGAAUGGGAGAGAGCCUGAACCAGGCAAGUAGGAUGCAGGAAGGCGGCGCGAUGGGUUAUAAACUGCUGUUAUGAGGGGGUAAAGGGAGGGACGGGACCGUGAUUGAAGGUAACGGAUGAAUAAGGACCGGCUAAUUCCGUG